rnacentral:misc_RNA from 1 species
GAUGAAGAACGCAGCGAAAUGCGAUAAGUAGUGUGAAUUGCAGAAUUCAGUGAAUCAUCGAAUCUUUGAACGCACAUUGCGCCCUUUGGUAUUCCAAAGGGCAUGCCUGUUCGAGCGUCAUUUGUACCCUCAAGCUUUGCUUGGUGUUGGGCGUCUUGUCUCUAGCUUUGCUGGAGACUCGCCUUAAAGUAAUUGGCAGCCGGCCUACUGGUUUCGGAGCGCAGCACAAGUCGCACUCUCUAUCAGCAAAGGUCUAGCAUCCAUUAAGCCUUUUUUUCAACUUUUGACCUCGGAUCAGGUAGGGAUACCCGCUGAACUUAAGCAUAUCAAAGCGGAGGA